ensembl:lncRNA
GCCACGCCCCUUUCCGCCAUGACAGUAGGCUAGACACAGGAUACAGCUUCAGCUAUGGUUCGUACGUGUUGUGUUAUCAGUUGCAACGUUUGAUCACACGAUCGUGAAGGCAAGAAGCCGGAUAAUGGGCUCUCUUUUCAUCGUUUUUCAACCUGGAGGCAAUGUGAAGGAUCCCAUGUAUCCGAUAUUACUAAACAAAGACGUCAGGCUUGCAUUGCAGCGGUGAGACGAGCGGAUCGAGUUCUGUGCAAUCCCCAGCUUUUUGUUGGUUUGGUCUCCGCAUCUUCUUUCCGGUACUGCACUCACAACGACUGAAUGAAACUGCACUGUGACCUCGUUGUGUGGACACAGAGAGACCUUCUGUCAUACGCAUCUUCCCUGAUGUGGAUUUCUGGGAACCACGUUUAAAGCUGGCGGACGCUCUGUUCAUCUCUGCACCCGUACCUGCUCCUCGGAUGGGGUUGACGGACACCCAGCCGUUGCCUGCGCCUGUUCUGGUUCCCCAGGUGAGGGCAACUGUGACCCUGCCGACUCCUGCAUCUGUUUCAGUUAAUCGGGUGGGAGCAGCAGUGGUUCAGCCAGCUCCUGCACCUACACCGGCUCCCAGGGUAAGGGCAGCCAGAGCCCAGUUCAUCCCUGCACCCGUAUCUGUUCCUCGGGUGGGGAUGGCUGGUGUUCGGCCAGGCCCAGUACCCGUUCUUGUUCCCCGGAGGAGAGCGGCCAAGAGUGAGACCACCUGCUCAGUCACAAGUUCAGCUACCUGCUCAUCCACCAUCUCUACAACCAUCAUCACAACCACCACUACAACUUGUACUUUUAUCCAUAGCGUAGUCAUUAGCUCAGUUAUUAGCUCAGUUUCCUGUUUUGUCACCAGCUCAGUCUCUAGCUCAGUUGUCAGCUCUAUUACCUGCUCAGUCAUCCAUUCUGUUACCACCUCAGUUUCUUGCUUCGUUGCCUGUUCAGUUAUCAGCUCAGUCAUUAACUCUGUCACCAGCUCAGUUAGUAGCUCAGCAACCUGUUCAGUCACUGCCAUCCUCUGCUGGAGGCUCUAGUGAGCUAACUCAGCCAGCUGAGGACAGCGUUGUGCUGACAAAGCCUGGACAGACUGUUUGCACGGCACAGCCCAAGCUGUUGCAUCCCAAGCUGGCUGCGUGCCCUGUGCAGCUACAGUUACCGUCCCCUCAGCCAGGGGUGCCCACACCUGCUGGCCCUUCCUCUGUUCCCGCUGGCGGCUCGGGUUCCUACGUUGUUCUAUUAAGAUGUUGCUUAUUUGAUUUCCCCUUGUGACUUUACCCUCUGUGUGCCCCCUCUGUGUAUCUGUGAGUCCUUGUUUUCCCUCCUUGUGUUUUAUUCCAUGUUUUCCCCAGCCUGUUAUGUCUGUGCUCUCCCCGUCCACGCUCUCUCCCCUGAUCUGCCUCCCUGUGCGCUUCCUGUUUUACUUUGAUAGUCUCCCGUCAGUGUGGGUCAGUGUUGUUUGCUCCUGCCGUGUCUCGUUAUGAUUAUCAGUGUCACCUGUGUUCCCCAUGUGCUUCUACUUCCCUCGUUAACCCACUGUGUAUUUAUGUCCACGUCUCCCUCAGUUCUGUGUUGCAUUGUCAAUGUCUCUUUCCUGAACCUGUGUGCCUUUCUGUGUUCCCUUGGUCCUCAGCAGAAGCCUGCAAUAAAGCAAUGACUUUGAGUUCAGCUUUUGUCUCCGUGAGUUUUGCAUUUGGGUCCUCAUCUGCCUCCACACAGCCAGUUCGUGACACUUUGUGUACUCUGUAUUUUGAUUCGUCCUGGCCCAGGGGAAC